GACAGAGGCCUCAAGCGUUAGGCGGAAUCACUGGGCUUAAAGCGUGUGUAGGCGGAUCGUUAAGUGCCUUGUGAAAUCCCACGGCUUAACUGUGGAACGGCUGGGCAUACUGGCGGUCUUGAGCCAUCUAGGGGCGACUGGAACAAACGGUGGAGCGGUGAAAUGCGUAGAUAUCGUUUGGAACGCCAAUGGUGAAAACAGGUCGCUGGGGAUGAGCUGGCGUUGAGACACGAAAGCCAGGGGAGCAAACGGG
rnacentral:rRNA from 1 species